GGGGGGGGGGGGGGGCGGGGCGGGGGGGGGCGGAGCGAGCGGGCGGACGAGGAGCUGGCUACGCUGCUGUUCGCGGCUGGCGUGUGCGUAACACUUGAAUCCCCUCCCUCUAAGCCUGUGCUAACUUCGGGCAACCGUAGCUAAUACCUGAUAAUACUUUGAACCGCAUGUUUCAAAUGUUCACUACACUCUUGCUUUCACUUAUCGAUAGAUCCCCGCUGCAUUAGCUAGUUUGAAAGGUCACGGCCUACCAAGGCAACGAUGCAUAGCCGACCUGAGAGGGUGAUAGGCGACACUGGAACUGAGCCACGGUCCAGACUCCUACGGGAGGCAGCAGUAGGGAAUGUUCCGCAAUGGGCGAAAGCCUGACGGAGCAAAGCCGCGUGAGUGAUGAAGGUCUUCGGAUCGGAAAACUAUGUUAUUAGGGAAGAACAUAUGUGUAAGUAACUGUGCACAUCUUGACGGUACCUAAUCAGAAAGCCACGGCUAACUACGUG
rnacentral:rRNA from 1 species